UAAUAUUUAGAGGGCAUUCUCUUCCUCUGUUUUUCGUGGUUCUCUUCCUCUGUUCUUGUUUUCCGGCAAAGCCACGUUCAUUCUUCAGUUCAUUUCUUCCUUUCUCUUUUUCUCUUCUGCAUCAUUCUCUUCCAGCGCCUUUUCCGGCGAAUUCGGUGCCCAGUCACCGUCAUUUCUGCUGAGCAAUCUCUCCUAACGGUGUCGUUCUGUCCUCCCUCAGCAUAUCCUGCAACACACCCUUCAUCAUGCAAAGAAGUAAGGUUUUGAAGCAAAUACUGAAGGUGUUUUGAGAGGAAUCUUAAUAGGGAAAUGGCAUGAAUUCCUAUUCAAAGACAGCAAAUUGGUGAAAGGUCUCUUACG